GGGUCCGGACACACUGAGGAUUGACAGGCGCUUGUAGUUAUGAGAUUAUUAAUUUAUUAAUAAUUAAAUUUCUGCUAUAAAUAUGCUAGUCCUUUCAUGAUUGUGUGAUAGGUGGUGCAUGGCCGUUCUUAGUUCGUGGAGUGAUCUGUCUGCUUAAUUGCGUUUCACUGUGGACAUUGUUAUAAUAGUGUGUGCACGCAUAACUUCGGUUAUGUUGUUGCCUACUGUUCCAAAUGUCCUGAAGGCAACGAACGUGACCGCAACCUCUUGUUGCCUCUUCCAAAUACUUAUUUUAUUAUCUUUUUUGAUAAUUGAGAUCGGUUUAUAGAGGCUAACUAGAGGGACCGCUGACAACUUUUAAAACAGAGGAAGGUUGCGGCAAUAACAGGUCUGUGAUGCCCUUAGAUGUUCCGGGCUGCACACGUGCUACAAUGAUUAUUGCACUGAGCAUCUAAUUUUAUUAAAAGUUCGUCUGGUUUAAUUUGAUCUUAACAGAUUAAAUAAGACUAACGACAUUUCCUACUUCGAAAGUAAGUAGGU
rnacentral:rRNA from 1 species